rnacentral:rRNA from 1 species
AUGAACAUCUUGUCCUAGAACUGUCGAGGACUGGGGUUGGACUUGAUAGUAGGUGAACUAUGCGACCUGAUUAGGUCCCACAACCCAGCGGUGGUUUUCUUGAGUGAAACUAAGAAGAAGGCGAGAGCUAUGGAGAAGUGCAUGUGGAGCUUGGGGUUUUGUUAUGGCGUCGCGGUGGAUUGUCAAGGACACAGUGGUGGCCUUGCUUUGUGGUGCAGGGAUUAUUUGCAGGUUACAGUUAGGCCAUGGUGCCAAUACUUCAUUGAUGCUCAGGCGGUGUUUGAGGGGAAAACCUGUAGAAUCACUGGAUUCUACGGCGAACCCGAUGUGGAGCAGAGGAAGAAGUCGUGGGAUGCACUGCGGUUCUCAAAGAGAUAA